rnacentral:tRNA from 1 species
AAAGAAACACCCAUCGCAUCGCGAGCCCCCCCUCCAACCACUUUCCAGCAGCCGGUCCGGGUCUGUAGCUCAGGUGGUUAGAGCGCACCCCUGAUAAGGGUGAGGUCGGUGGUUCGAGUCCACCCAGACCCACCAAACACCUGGGGCCAUAGCUCAGCCGGGAGAGCACCGGCUUUGCAAGCCGGGGGUCGGCGGUUCGAACCCGCCUGGCUCCACCAUUCCGAUACCUUGAUGAUGAGAAUGGCUGGCGGCGCAGUCGGUUUUUUUCGAUAUAUGGUCAUGCGAAUAUAUCGAGCGCUGCAGGUGGCUGUUUUUUUUGUUUUUUACCUGUUCUUUAACAAGAUGGAAGGUAUGAUGCAUCGACGCGGAGGAGCGCUGGCGUUUCUCCGUGGGGAGGCGCGCAACGGACGCGCGCGACAGCGGCAUGGACGCCGAUCAGCGAUCCCAAAUGCUUUGGGGUUGCA